UCCAGACUCCUACGGGAGGCAGCAGUGAGGAAUAUUGGUCAAUGGGCGGAAGCCUGAACCAGCCAAGUCGCGUGAGGGAAUAAGGCCCUACGGGUCGUAAACCUCUUUUGCCGGGGAGCAAGGGCGGGGACGUGUCCCGGCCCGGAGAGUACCCGGAGAAAAAGCAUCGGCUAACUCCGUGCCAGCAGCCGCGGUAAUACGGAGGAUCCGAGCGUUAUCCGGAUUUAUUGGGUUUAAAGGGAGCGUAGGUGGAUUGUUAAGUCAGUUGUGAAAGUUUGCGGCUCAACCGUAAAAUUGCAGUUGAAACUGGCAGUCUUGAGUACAGUAGAGGUGGGCGGAAUUCGUGGUGUAGCGGUGAAAUGCUUAGAUAUCACGAAGAACUCCGAUUGCGAAGGCAGCAUACCGGCGCCCAACUGACGCUGAAGCACGAAAGCGUGGGUAUCGAACAGGAUUAGAUACCCUGGUAGG
rnacentral:rRNA from 1 species